rnacentral:rRNA from 1 species
AUGCACGCUGGCGGCGUGCCUCAUACCUGCCAGUCGAGCGAACAGACGAGGAGCUUGCUCCUCUGACGUUAGCGGCGGACGGGUGAGUAACACGUGGAUAACCUACCUGUAAGACUGGGAUAACUUCGGGAAACCGGAGCUAAUACCGGAUAAUAUAUUGAACCGCAUGGUUCAAUAGUGAAAGACGGUUUUGCUGUCACUUAUAGAUGGAUCCGCGCCGCAUUAGCUAGUUGGUAAGGUAACGGCUUACCAAGGCAACGAUGCGUAGCCGACCUGAGAGGGUGAUCGGCCACACUGGAACUGAGACACGGUCCAGACUCCUACGGGAGGCAGCAGUAGGGAAUCUUCCGCAAUGGGCGAAAGCCUGACGGAGCAACGCCGCGUGAGUGAUGAAGGUCUUCGGAUCGUAAAACUCUGUUAUUAGGGAAGAACAAAUGUGUAAGUAACUAUGCACGUCUUGACGGUACCUAAUCAGAAAGCCACGGCUAACUACGUG